rnacentral:rRNA from 1 species
CCCUAGUACGGCGAGUGAAGAGGGAAAAGCCCAGCACCGAAGCCUGCGGCAGUUUUGCUGUUAGGCAAUGUGGUGUUUAGGCCGGCUCGUGGGAUUGCCACUCCACUCGAAGUCCAGCAUUGAGUAUGGUUUCCCCUGGAUUUGGCCCAGAGAGGGUGAAAGGCCCGUACGAGUGGAUGUUUCAGACAUGAAAGGCAGUUCACCAGGCCGGCCUCCGAGUCGGGUUGUUUGAGAAUGCAGCCCAAAGCGGGUGGUAAACUCCAUCCAAGGCUAAAUACAAGCACGAGUCCGAUAGCGAACAAGUACCGUGAGGGAAAGUUGAAAAGUACUUUGAAGAGAGAGUAAACAGUACGUGAAACCGCAUAGAGGUAAACGGGUGGCGUCAAGCUGCAAGCCCAGAGGAUUCAGUCGGUCAGGGUGUUGUGUAUGCGCCUGGCGCAUCUAUCAGUCGGUGUUAUACGAGGGGCAGUCCGCCGGGAAACGGUGGGCCCAGCCGCAAGGUUGGGAUUUGCUUACCGGGUGGUUGCCGGUGCAUGCUGCUCGUCUGUUGGACUGCCUGGCCGAUGCACUUCCUCUGAUAUGGCUAACACCACGACCGGUGGUACUGCCAGUCUGUUGUGGCCAAGUUGUGCUCAGGUGGCACUCGUGUCGCCUGGGUGCGAUCACAGGCAAUGUCGGUGAACGGUGUUCGGGCGUUCGCGUCAGUUCAUGUUAUCGGGCACCGCUUGUCAACGGGUCUGUCGCCCUAGGUUGUAGUGGCUGGGCGGCGUGACUCGGUGGGCCAUGAUGGUACAAAUAACUGUGCAGGGCAUCGGAGGGCUCGGUCUCUAACCCGGCCCGUGCGCACCACUACAGUGUGGAGCGGGGUGUCGUUGCGGCCUGCCUGUGGCUGGGUCUGAUCGUCGUGUCGCCUGCGCAAAGUGGGCCCGGCGGUGGCCUGGCCCGGGUCGGAGUCGUGGAUGGCGCCUCCAGUGUGCGGGUUCGGUGAGGGCCAAAUAGUCAGUGGUGUAGUGGUAGACGAGCUACCCGACCCGUCUUGAAACACGGACCAAGGAGUUUAACAUGCACGCAAGUCAAUGGGCCCUACGAAACCCAAAGGCGCAGUGAAAGUGAAGCCUCGGGUUAAUCCCCGGGGUGUGGUGAGAUCCUGCCGUUACUCGCAUCUGUGCACUCGUGCAUUCUUGUGUCAGCACCAGGCAUUAAAGAGCGGCAGGCGCAUCACCGGCCCGUCCCAUGAUGUGGUCAUCGGUUGGCUGUGGCUGUGGGCUUCGGUUYGCGGCUGCGGCUGCUGGUGCGCCAUCGGGGCGGAGCAUGAGCGUGCAUGUUGAGACCCGAAAGAUGGUGAACUAUGCUUGCGUAGGUUGAAGCCAGAGGAAACUCUGGUGGAGGACCGCAGCGAUUCUGACGUGCAAAUCGAUCGUCAAACGUGAGUAUAGGG